CAACCCAGGAGCUGUCUCCAUGACUCAUCUGCUAAACUCUGUAGCAGCCACGAGUAUUUAUGAUGCGAGAACUAGUCAAGGUAUGCUUGCAGAACCUGCUGUACCUUCGGCUGCUGCUAGAGUUCCUUGUGGGCCAAGGUCGCCUCUCUAUUAUAGAAAUAAUUAUUCUUACAUGAUGAAACAUGGAUUUCCAAAAUACCACUCUUCCAUUAUGGAAAGAAACCUGUUGGGGCCUUCAAGAAUCAUGAACCCGCAUGCACCUGAGUUUGUGCCAAUGAGAGGUUGGCAAAUAAAUCCUGGAUAUGCAGAUUCAAAUGUUUCAAAUGAGUCGAACUCUUCAAAUGACACAAGUGAGGCAGACGAUGAGAAACUUGACAAAAUGUCCAGUAUUCAAGGCGAGGAUAAUACCUCAAGAAAGAGCAGUACAGAGGCGGAGAAGUCAGAGCUGGCAAGACAGAUACUACUUAGCUUCAUUGUAAAGUCAGUCCAGCAUAAUAUGGAUGCUCCAAGUCAUUCUUCAGGCUACGAAAAGAAGAUUGGGUAUUCUGAAAAUUCUUCAGAUGCAAUUGCAAAUGAUAAAUUGUUAGUUAACAGAUUGCAAAUGAUCCUUUAUGGAAAUGAAAAGGGCAAAACAAACUUGGCAUCUCAGUCCAAUGAUCAAGAACAGCAAAAACCGAAAGAUGAAAACCAAAAAAGUGGGGAUGGUGAAGGAUUUAUAGUUGUCAGAAAACGGAGAAGAAACCGACAGCAGAUCACAAAUGGGGUAACUGAGAUGUACAAUCAUCAAUCCAUCUGUGCUUCUGUUCGUUAAAAGAGAGAGCAAAGCAAUAAAAUGCAAAGGUGCCGUCCUGUUUCUCCCAAUUUUAUUCGAAAAAUUUGUCAGUGAAUGUUACCGUUGUAGAAAUGGUUAAAGUUUGGAGCAAGUUUUAAUCAAUACUUGAUUGUAUCAUUUUAGACAUCCUCUCUGGAUGUUCUAAUAUAAUAUUUGUACAAAUUGGUUUCUUGUUUUGUUAAGAGAUUUUGUUUUGAUCAAUAAAUGAUGAUAAAUUAAUUGGGCGAUUUUCCUCAUCAAGAGAUCUGUGAUGUUGUUCUAUAAUGGAUCUUAAUGUUUUAGACUGAGAUUUGUAGUUAUGCCUCAAAUUAUUUGGUAUUUGGUUGGUGCGUGUGAACAAUACGUUCGGAAUGGAGUUGAAUUGGGUUAUCUUAUAUCAAAUGUCUGAAAUUUAAUUUUCUUACAUUUGCAGCUGAAGUUGCUGCACUGAUGAUAUUACAACUAACAUAGUAUUUGGCAAAAUUCCUCAUUCAAUUUAAAUUUGCAAUCAACAGAAACUGAAGAACAAGCCGUAAGUCUAAUCCUAAUGGAUGCAUAGCUGUUUGGAGAAAAGCCAACGGAGACAUAACACAGCACGAUAAGUUAUACACGGCAGAACCGUAUGUGCUAGUAAGCACAGUCACCAAUGGAAAACAUAUUUGAAAAGCCAAUAGUAGCAUGUGUCAAUACAUCUAUCAAUGAAAUAGAACCACAGUCUGCGCCAGUACGAGUUUAUCCAAAGUGCUGCAAAGAAGCCCAAAAUCACCGACACAUAGGAUGCUCCAAAACUCCAUCUUAAUGCCACCAUAUCAAUCACAGAAUCGCCUUCAUCUUCUCCUCCUCCUGUAGGUGUCGCUGGUGGUGCCAACGCACUGCUGCAUUUCCUCUUUAUCAUUGAGCCACAAAGAGCCGAAUUACCUUUAUAACUGCUGUCAUCAAACGUGCCAAACUGCUCUUUGUCUGGGAUUGGGCCGGACAAAUUGUUGUAUGACACGUUGAAGUUUGAUAAAAAGUUGAGGUCAGUUAGUUGAAGAGGAAUUCGGCCACUUAAUUUGUUGCGGGAAAGGUCCAGGCUCUCUAUCAUUUUCAGAUUGGAGAAGCUCUCUGGUAUAGCACCUGAUAGUAAAUUAUUGGACAGAUUAAGUGCACGAAUAUGUUGAAGAUGCCCAAUUUCCCAUGGAAUUUCUCCACUGAACUCAUUGCUCGAAAAAUCCAAUCCAGCCAUGUCGACGAGAUUGAGACCGAUGAAAAAUUCAUAUCUAUACUUUGUCACAAAUUCUACACCUACUUGUUGAUCUACUCUACUAUGUAGUUCACCUUGCGGCUGCUGAUCAAGAGUGGAAUUGUAGUAAGUAGAAGCGGAAUCAUGAUUAGACACACCAAAUCCAGAUCCAUAUGAAUAAUCAACAAUCACUUCUCCCCAGAAUGACAGGUUACCCAGGCAUGAAGGUAUCGGCCCAUUAAGUCUGUUAUGUGAAAGAUCCAUGAUACCUAAUUUUCUUAAUUGGCACAACUGAUUAGGAAUACGUCCUUGUAGAUAAUUCCCUCUCAAAAGAAGAACAUGCAAAUUCGAAAGCUCAUUGAUCUGAUGAGGAAUCCUACCAAAAAGUUUAUUGUCCCUCAAAUCUAGAGUCAAUAAUGUAGAGCUUCGAAGCAAUGCAAUUGGAAUUAACCCAUUAAUUGCAUUGUUAUGCAGAUAAAUGUGCCCCACUGAUGAAAGAUUGGAGAGAGAUACCAUGGACCCAGACAAACUAUUUUCGGAUAUGUCUAUAAACUCAAGACUUUCAAGAUUGCCGAGCUGGACCGGAAUACUACCUUGCAAAUAAUUUUCUGACAUUAAAAGAAGCCAAAGGUGUGAGAAGUUGCCAAUCCAGUGGGGAAUAUCGCCGGAUAACUUGUUGUUGGAUACAUCUAAUACCCCCAGCAAAGGGGAGCUCAACAAACCAUCUGUCAUCUUCCCACUGAAAUGAUUGUUGUCCAAACGUAAGGAACGCAAAUGAGUCAAGUUCAUAUAAUUGGGAAAAAGUUGGCCAUAGAAAUUGUUAUUUGAUAGGUCCAACAUAUCUAAGGGGAGGCAACUAGAGAAUAUAGAUCGAGUUAAUUCUCCUGAAAAAUUAUUUCCAGACAAAUCCAAAGUAAUUAGCUCUUUCAUCUCACUGAUUGAAUAAGGAAUAUUACCUUCAAAACUAUUUUUUGACAUAUCCAAAUAUAUCAAUUUCUGAAAGACAAUACCCAAAUUCUCUGGUAGCUUACCAGAGAAAUUGUUAGUGGAAAUAUCUAGAUAACGAAGCUUAUCGUAUUUGGCAUUGGGAAGUCGCGGAAGAAUUCCUGAGAAUGAGUUAUUCCACAAAAUCAAAACUUCUAAUCCUGUGUUGUUUUGCAACAACCAAGUUGGGAAAUUGCCAACCAACUGAUUGUGAGAGAGAUCAAGGAAUUUUAAGUUGGAUUGGUGUAAAAGAAAACUGGGAUUGACAUUUAAGCGGCAGUGAGGUAAUUGGAGAACCUUGAGAGGAUAUGUGGGGAGCCAGUUUUCGGUUUUCACUUGCAACAUAUCGUUUUGUGGCGAGAGUAGCAAGACCUCAAGCUUUGAAUGAUUAGCCAAUGAAUUUAUUGAGAAUGUUCCUUGGAAAUCGAUGAAAGAGAGAUCCAAAUAUUCAAGUGAUGUGAGGUUGGUCAAGGCAGAAGGAAAUUUUCCACUUAACUGAUUGUAAGAAAUAUCAAGAACUUUGAGAUGGGUCAAGUUGUUGAGACACUGAGGAAGGUGAACCACAAAAUUAUUUAACCUUAAAUCCAACUCAAGAAGAUUCUUCAAAUUACAUAUUCCUGAAAGUGAAAAUAAAAAGCUCAGAUGUCAUAAAACGAAAACUAAUUAUAGCGCAUUCAAUCAUAAACCCAAUAUAAGACUUAUAAAACAGUCAUGAAAUCAAAUUGUCUAAGUAUUUUGGUCAACAUAAAUAAUAAUAGAAUGAUAUGAAUUUAUUUCUCAUAUAAUAUGAUGUUGAUUGCAAAAGCGUUUCAAUUAAUCUAACAAUAAAAUAAUAAUAAUAAUAAUAUAAAAGCAGUCAGCAAUUCUUGCUCAUCAUAAUCCAUUCAAAAAGCAUUUCAGCAAUUCUCGUUGUUUAAAAUAAUGAUUUUCUGCGGAAGAGUUUGUUGACUUCGUCUUUUUCGUUGGAUAUUGGUUCUCUAAUCUCUAAAUUUGUUGGAUAAUGUAAAGAGAAACUCAUAAUAUAUUAGUUGCUUUCUUAAACUUUAUUUAUUCUUCUCAUAGCAUUAAAAAAAUAUAUAUAUUUGCCCAAGCGGAAAAAAAAAAAAAAGCUGGUCUUCAUAUUUAAUUUGACCAACAAGUCACUGGGAAGUAGGAAUUGUGUAUCAGUAAUGCAAAUAUUGGGUGCGUUGGCAUUGUUUUUAUAUGCUUUUUUUUUUUAUUUUUUGAAUUUAGAAAACAUUAGAUACGUGUUCGGUAGAUUGUUUCUGAAAAUAUUUUUAAAAAUAUAAAAUUCAUUCUACACAUUUUAACAAAAGAAAUGAGAAACAAUUUUUUCUUAUUUUCCUUAUUUCCCAAUACAAUAUUAAGUUCCAAAAUGAAGAAUUCUCUGUACCUCCUCCUGAAAUAAUAAUAAUAUCAACAUUAUUAUUAUUAUUAUUAUCAUUAGGUCUAAUUAUCCCUAGGUGACAGAUGUUUUAAUAAAUUUCAAAAAAAUGACACAUGUUUUGAAAACACUCGAGUGGGUGACAUUCCAUUAACUUUUGUUGUUAAUUUUAACCAGUCGAGGGUAGAGUUGAAAAAAUAAUUUUUUUUUUCAUAAAGCCAAAGAGAUGAAAAUAUUGAAUUUAUACAGUACUUUAUAAUUCAUAAGAUUUUUGCUUCUUUAUAUUCACAAAUCAGUUUGAUCAACAAGAAUUUUUUAAAAUUUAUUUGAUUUAACAAAAAAAACCUGGUAAUUAGACUUAUGUUUAUUUUUUUAUAUUUUAUAUUUAAAAAAUUAAAAAUGAGUGAGUAUGGGCAGAAACAUCAUUUUGUGGGGUAGAAAAGUCAUUUAAUUUACUAUUCUCAUUAAAAUUAAUGACAAAAGUUAAUAGAAUGUCACUCGCUCAAAUAUUUUUAAAAAAUGUCAUCUUCUUAAAAUUUGUUAAAACAUAUGUCACCUAGAGAUUAUUGUUGUUGUUGUUGUUGUUGUUGUUGUUGUUGUUGUACCCAAAGAAUCAUUUUCCUUCACAAAAAUCUUUUCUUUUUAUAUACAUUAUAAUAUUUAUGUUUUUAUAUAUUAACUAAAUCAAAUAUGUAGGGUUUAUCAUUUUUCUUUGAACAAAAAAAUAGAAAGAUCACCUAAUUUAUUCUUAAAAUUAAAAUAAUCAAUAUACAUUGCUUAAUCUUAAGUUUAUGGAAAUUAUUCCAAUAAUAAUUCUUUGAGAUAUUCUUACCAAACAUAUUUAUGUUUUUCUCAUUUUUCAGAUUAUUUUUUAAAAUGAUACGGAACACAUUUUUAAAUUUUAAAAAUAAAUUUAAAAAUAGCAUUUUCAUUUUUAUUUUGUAAAAACAACAAUUAGAAAACAAUAUUGGGCUAUUAUUUAUCAUGUUUCAACAUAAAAACACAGUGUAAAUUGUUUAAUAUGGGUUUCUAGAGAAUUUUUUAUGUUACUAUUACUCAAAUUCAAUGCUUCCAAGCUUUUGAAUUUAGCUAAUCUUGCAUCAAGAAUUAAUGAACAUAAGAAAAAAAACAUUUCAUUCAGAACUAUAAAUAUUGAAAUAAAGAUAAAUAUCAUUGUUGAUUUUUUUAUAAAAAUGAUUUAGAAUUAAGAGAGAGUGAGAGAAAUGAGCGGGUUAUUUCGGAAAUUGGUGAUAGAGUAUAUCAAGUACUAAACUUUGUAUAGAAAGCAGUGCUUCUAAUUUAAAUUUGAUCUAGUUUAAAGCAAUUAAAAAAUGGAAAUAUAUUAUCAUCUUGAUUAACAUCUAAAACAAUUUUUGUCAUUGGAGGAAGUGAAUUGUUAUAUACCUUGAAUUGUAGUUAUCCCACAAGAGCCAAGAUCCAAUGUUUUCAAGUUUGGCAAAUCUGCGAAUCCUACAUGCGCCGAUAAAAAAUGAAAAUAUUACAUUUAAAGGCAUUGUAUGUGAUCCGCGCGUUUGAUGAACAUUAAUUCUACAUUUAAUUUGCUUCUUAUCUCAGAUUCAGUGGCCUACCUAGCAUUGUCAGAUUUUGAUUAUCGCUUAAAUCCAACACUUGUAGGUUUGUCAAAUUUGCUAAUCCUGUUAAAAAAGGUAAAUUUUGUCAAUAACAGUUAUGUCACUCUCGUCUAAAUUGUUUAAUUAAAAUAAUAUGGUAAAUAUUGAAUGAAAAUUAACUGUGCACAUUGUUAUUUUUUUGUUUAUAUUGAUAUUUUAAUAUAUACCGUCACUUUUAGCAUUACCAAGAUUUGGAGUGUUUGAAUCAUAAUUUGUAAAUUAGUUAGCACUUUGAGUAAACUUGAAAAUGUGAAAAAAGAAAUUAAAAAAUGCAAAUAUAUUAUCAUCUUGAUUAACAUCUAAAACAAUUUUUGUCAUUGGAGGAAGUGAAUUGUUAUAUACCUUGAAUUGUAGUUAUCCCACAAUAACCAAGAUCCAAUGUUUUCAAGUUUGGCAAAUCUACGAAUCCUACAUGCGCGGUAAAUUUUGUCAAUAACAGUUAUGUCACUCUCGUCUAAAUUGUUUAAUUAAAAUAAUAUGGUAAAUAUUGAAUGAAAAUUAACUGUGCACAUUGUUAUUUUUUUGUUUAUAUUGAUAUUUUAAUAUAUACCGUCACUUUUAGCAUUACCAAGAUUUGGAGUGUUUGAAUCAUAAUUUGUAAAUUAGUUAGCACUUUGAGUAAACUUGAAAAUGUGAAAAAAGAAAUUAAAAAAUGCAAAUAUAUUAUCAUCUUGAUUAACAUCUAAAACAAUUUUUAUCAUUGGAGGAAGUGAAUUGUUAUAUACCUUGAAUUGUAGUUAUCCCACAAGAACCAAGAUCCAAUGUUUUCAAGUUUGGCAAAUCUGCGAAUCCUACAUGUGCCGAUAAAAAUGAAAAUAUUACAUUUAAAGGCAUUGUAUGUGAUCCGCGUGUUUGAUGAACAUUAAUUCUACAUUUAAUUUGCUUCUUAUCUCAGAUUCAGUGGCCUACCUAGCAUUGUCAGAUUUUGAUUAUCGCUUAAAUCCAACACUUGUAGGUUUGUCAAAUUUGCUAAUCCUGUUAAAAAAAGGUAAAUUUGUAGUUAUGUCACUCUUGUCUAAAUUGUUUAAUUAAAAUAAUAUGAUAAAUAUUGAAUGAAAAUUAACUGAGCAAAUUGUUUAAUUAAAAAAAUUACCUUCUAAAGAACUGUGUAUAUAAUAAUUAGAACUCAAAUCCAACGCUUCCAAGUUUUUUAAUUUUGCUAAUCUAGCGCCAAGAAAGAAGAAAAAUCUUAGUAAUCAUCUUUGGGAAAAAAAUAAAGAAUUAAGAAAUUAGAUUAAAUAAUUGUAGUAAUAAAGCUUAUGAUUCAGAUCUAAUUAAAUUGAUCAUAUACUCAAAAAUGAUUUUAUUUNNNNNNNNNNNNNNNNNNNNNNNNNNNNNNNNNNNNNNNNNNNNNNNNNNNNNNNNNNNNNNNNNNNNNNNNAUUAAGAAACAAAUUUCAAAGUUAGAUUAAAUAAUUGUAGUAAUAAAGCUUAUGAUUAAGAUCUAAUUAAAUUGAUCAUAUACUCAAAAAUGAUUUUAUUUAUUUAUUUAUUUUUUUAAAUUUUACUAAGACAUUAGAAAGUAAAUUUUGCCGUGUACAUAUUGUAGUCAAGUUUAUCAAGUUUUCCAGUCAAAAAUUGGUUUUAAUUUGACAUUAUACAUAUGUAAAAAUUAAGAGCAUAAUAAUAUCACAAGGAAUUUGGGUAGUGACUUGUUGCCGUGUACCUUGAAUUGUAGUUAUUCCACAACUACCAAGAUCCAAUUUUUUCAGGUUUGUCAAAUUUGCCAAUCCUACACCAACGAAAAGCAAAAUAUUACUUUUAAAAUUAUUGUAGAAGGUUGUGAUUAGUGUGCUAACUUGGUAAUUAUCUCAGUAGCCUACCUAGCCUUGUUAAAGAGCCACUAGUUAUAUUGAAGUUCAAGCUUAGAUCCGACACUUGCAAGUAUCUCAAAUUUACUAAUCUUGCUCAGAAAACAUUAAUUUUGAUCAAGACAAUAUAAAUAUAUAUUUUAAUUAAGAAAUUAAUUAAGUUGCCUGACAUGUAUAUCUGCUGGCCUGAAACGUAUAUGUAUACCUUGCUUGGUUCUGGAACCUUCAAUCUUAUUGUAACUAAGAUUCAGAGUGGUAAGUGAAGUUAGUGUAUUCAAAUAUGGUAAUAUGCUGUCGUUGACGUAAUUAAAACCAAGAUUUAACAUCUUCAGCUGCUUCAAACUCCCAAAGCUAUCGUAAGCUGCAAAUGCAUAUGAAGUGUUAUUAUUAAUUAGUCACUGACAAAAUAUUUAUGGAUGCGAAAUAAAUGUAUACAUAUAUACGGACCUCUAUUCUCAUAGAUGCCUGUAAACCAAUUCUCGGAUAAGUCAAGGCUUUGCAAUUCUUCAAAAGGAUGAAACAAUGACAUAUUCAUAAACGAAGCCGAAGUUCUAUCAUAAUAUUUCAAUCUCCUUGUAUAAUUGAGUGAGAGUUGCAUCACGCGUCUUGUGGUGGCGUUGCACAUAACUCCCUCCCAAGCAUCACAACAAUCAGACGGCAUGCCAUCAUCCUCACCAACCCAUGAAGGAAGAAUUUUGUCAUCAUAGCCAACAUCACUGACUGAUAUGAAGAAGCUCUUGAUUGCCAACAGAGCAGUCCUCUCUGUUUCCAAGCAUGCUUUGUAUCCCUGCAUUUCAUUCAUCAAUACAAUAAUCCAAAUUAGUGACAUUAAUGAGAACUUAAUACAGGAAGUAGUUUCCAUUGCUGAGCAACUUUUCAUUUGGUUAAAAUUAAAUGUGCAAUGAGCAACUUUCCAUUGCAGAGCAAUUUAUACUAAAAGUUUAUCGCAGGUCUUGCAAUUUGAUUGGCUGAAGACUUUUUUAAGACUUUCCAAUACAUCGCCAUCUUUGAAGACUUGUAAGCAUUCCAUGUUUUGCAACAUUCGACCAAUUUUGUCAUCAUAUCCAACAUCACUGAUAAAGUGAUUGAAAUGACAAAACACAUAAAUGUUAUUUGAAGCUCAUGCAUUCGGAUAAGGAAAGUUUCCAUUGCUCCAGUCUACACUCUUCACUACUAUUACAAUCACUUGAAAUGACAAAAAUAGAAAUUUCGUAUGAACUUGGGACCGAUGUACGGGUGCAAUUUAAAUGACCCUAGCUAAUUUUGCAUAUAUUAUUGCAACUACGUGGAAAAUUAAAGUUGACUGACUUUCAAAUUAAGCCAACAAACAAGUGGCUAUCAACUCUUUUCCCUCUAUGAUUGUUUUUUUUUUUUUUUUUUAAAUUGAAUUGUAUGAUUGGGUUUGCAUUGAAUUAUCCAACAAUCUAUUCAAGCAUUGAUAUUUGAUAUUCUCAAAUAUUUAAUGGGUUUUGAAAAUUAUUUACUAGAUUUUUGAUAAAUUGAUUUUUAUUAUUUCAUGAUCAAUAAUUAAUCAAGUAAUUUUCUAUAUAUAUAUAUUUGGUAAUUUACUCAUAAAAAGUGUGGAUCACAUUGAAAUGUUAUUUUAUAUGAUGCAUGACAUACGGAGAGGUGCAGUUUAAAUGCGCAAAUAAUUUAUUAAUUAUAACAUGCAAUCAUUGAGUUAAAGCGCAAGCGUGAGUUUGGAUUUGAAAUAUUCAAAUAAUUUAUUUCAUUAUUGAUUCUUAAAUAACAUGCUUUGGAAUUAAUAGUUCGAUAGGAUGUUUGAUAUAUUAAAAUUUGUGAUAAUCAAUAAUCAACUAAUUUUCAUUCAUAUUUAAAGAUUUUAAUAAAUUACUCAUAAAAUUGUGGCGUAUAUUGAAAUGACAAUCAAUCUUGAUAUUGACUGACAAUCAAUUUUUAUAGUGAUUGGCACUUAAGACAAUCAGUUUUGGUCUCCGUAAUGACUAAUGAAGAAUUGUAAGCCUGAAAUUCCACAUGUUGCAAUGUUGGACCAAUGAGGGAAAUGCUUCAUUAACAUUACAUGGAAAAUAAAUGUUGACUGACUUUCAAAUUAGACCAACAUACAAGUAGUCGUCAAUUCUAUUUUUUCCAACAGUUGAUAAAGAUGGCUAGUUAAGAAAAAAAAAGUUGAUUGAGAUAAUUUAAAGAAUUUAAGCGUAAGUUUGGGUUUGAAAUUAUCAAAUAAUUUAUUCCAGCAUUGAUUCUUAAAUAAUGUACUUUGGAAUUAAUAACUCGAUAGGAUGUUUGACAUAUUGAAAUUUGUGAAAAUCAAUAAUCAAUUAUUUUUCAUACAUGUUUAGACAUUUUAAUAAAUUACUCAUAAAUUUGUGGUGUACACCGAAAUAAUAAGUUAUUAUAAAUUUGUGGUGUACUCUUGAGUCCCUUUGUAUCCUUGCAUUAAUUUGAAUCAAAGCUCGAAUUAAAAUCAAAGACCCAUAUUGAGAAUUUAUAUAAAUAACUUAAGAGUAUGAUUGGGUUUACAUUGACUUAUAUAUAUCAAACAAUAUAUUCAAGGGCUGAUAUUCUCAAAAAAAAGAAAAAAAAAAAGACAAUCAAUCUUUGCGUCAACUGAUAUUAUUGAUUGGUAAUAAAUCUUAGUAGUGAUUGACAAAGCUUGGGAAAAUCACUCUCGGUGAUUAAUAGUCUUCGUCCUCAUCUUUGUUUUGAUCGUUGUGAUAGAGGAUGAGUGGUGCGUAAGAGAGGGUUCAUCGCUUGCGGAAUUUUCGCGGCCAUUCAAGAAUCAGGAUGGUUGUUGUAGAAUUCCACGAGAAUUGGCCGUGCAAUUAGGGAAAGUUCAAUAUUAAUUUAUACUAAAAGUUUAUCAUAGGCCAAUCACGGUGACCACCAAAACCUAUGAAUGAUUAGUCCAUCGAAACCCAAUGUAUGCUCAAUUAAUAUUUCCUAUCAAGAUCAAAAUUUUCACUCUAUUGCUUCACCAAUCAUGCGCAUAAAAGCUCGAUUUAUACAAAACUUACGAAUUUAUGAAAAAAAAAGUCACAAUUAUUAUAAUUGGAAGUUUGAUUGAUUUUUAAAGAUUGAUUCAAUCAAUCUUAAUGUUACUGGACAAUCGAUCUUAAUAUUAAUUCAAAAUCAAUCUUUAUAGCAAUUGACACAGAUAAAGAUAAUUAGUUUUGGUCUCUAUAAUGAUUGACGAAGACUUGUAGGACCUGCACCAAUGAGGAAAAAUGCUUCAUUAAUACUCCAUGGAAAAUAAAUGGUGACUGACUUUCAUAUAAUCGAUUGACGUAUAAUUAUAAUUAUAUAAUCAAACACGCACACUACAAGGCGACCUUCGAUUGACGUAUUCUGUCAACUAACCCAUGGGACAUGGAGUGCUAAAACCAUAAUGUACGCCAGUAUGAAUAAUAUCAUCAAUCAAACCAAAAAAAAAAAAAAUUGAUGAAUAAUAUAGUUCCAAGCAGUGCUAAAACCAUAAUGUACGCCAAUAUGAGUUUAUCCAAAGUCACCGGCUACACCAAUAUCAUAGUGACAUAGGAAGCGAUGAGGAAAUUUACGAAAGAUUUAUUAAAUGAUCAGAGACUUUCUGCAAUUUCAUUGACUUAUUCUACGAUAAUUAUAAUCAAACACGCACACUGCAAGGCGACCUUCGAUUGACGUACUCUGUCAACUAACCCAGGGACAUGGAGGAUGUGUGUUGACGUUAACCAAUAGCCAAGUUUAUAAACACAAUCAAGCAAUCGUAUCAUCAAUCAGAGCCACAUUCGACGCAUGACUAGUAAAUAUCAUAAUUGAGUUUGAGGACCACAGCCGCACGGUGAAAGAAUUUGAAUGGAGGAAAAGCAAAGGAAAAUGAAAAGGAAAAGAGGGGAAUGCUAAAGAAAAAUAAGCUGAUUCAUCAGUAACUCCAUAUGACAUUUUUUUUUUAAAAUAAGCAUACCGUGGGGGGUUAGGCGGGACCCCUACCUGUCAUUUAUAAAAGAUAAUGAAAGAUACAAGGAGGGGGACAAAAACCAAAACCUCCAAUCAAGAGAAAAAAAUACAACAGAAAAAUAAAAGAUUAAGGCAUAGCCUAACAUGAGAAUCAUAAUAAAAUGACUAAUGAAGACGGUGAUAAUAUGUCUUACGAUACUUACGGCCGGUAAGUAAUUUAAAUCCCUUUUUCGAUUGACCAACAAUGCUAAAAUCGGGACUUAAGUCUAUUCUCUCAGAAUUCUCAGGAGCAGAUAAAAAGUGUUCGUUAUUCGCCAGGUGCUCGUCAGAACUAUCAUCAUUAUCAGUAUGAGAAUUGUAAUGCCUAAAAUCUGUGCUGGAUGCUCGAUGAAGAUGUGGAUUAUACUCACCAAUGCUCCGCAGGGGAGACAAGCUUUGAUCACGAGGUUCCUUAGAAUCAUGAGUUGUGUCAUCUUGGGCAAUCGGCUCCUGAACGGAUGUAGAAUUUGUAACGUUAGGCCGGUUCUCCGAAGGUUUAGUGAUCGGGGACCCCGCGUCUACAAUCUGCUUAGUGAUGGAAAGCUCAGGUCGAGGAGUAUCUGAGGGUUGUGGAGUAUCUGACGGUAGAACUUCUGACUUCUUACCAUCUUCUACUCUGGUCUGCCGAUUCCCACUGGGUCGCUGGGGACGAAGCCUCGGAUUGGCCACGUAACACGUCUCAAUGGUAUGGCCAAGGUGCUUGCAGGAAGCACAAUAGAGUGGGAUUUUCUCAAAAAUUACAUUUUGCCAAAAUCCAGAAUCUCCCACCCCGAUUCGUAUCCUUGGCAAAGGAGGUUGGGUAACAACAUACUCCACUAAUACCCUAGCUACAGAAGGGCGAGCUAAAGAGGCAGUAGCUUGGUCAAUUCGCAAUGGCUUGCUAAUAGCUGAUGCAAUAGAAAAUAAUGCUUCCUUACAGUGCAUGAAGUGGACAGGCAAGUAAGGAAAUGAGAUCCAUACUGGAACUAUAGGGGACUCCUCAGAGCACCGAAAAUCGGUGGUCCAUUUAAAAAUUCUCAUGGCACUCCCAUUAAUGUGCCAUGUCUGCCUAACCCAUAGGCGGGAAUAGUCAUCCUCAACGUCCAAUUGAAUUAACACAUGUCGAUUAUCUAGUAAAGACACCUUAAAAGUUCCCUUCAAUCUCAAAGAAGUAAAAAAUUUACGAAUUAAUUCCAUACUAGUCUAUUAUAAGAAAAUUUACCAACCAAUGUCAACUUGAAGGGAAUGGCCAUCGCUUCAAUUUCCGCAACGGAGAAUUGCACGUUAGGCUCUCCCCCGAAAGAAGUAACGGUCUUGAUUGGAACCAUCGAGCUAGUUGGGCCGAUCAUAAUAUCCAUAAACGAACUUUUAUUGGUUCUCUUUUGAUUCGAAUUGGGGACGGAAUUCAAAAUUGAGGCAUAAGAUGGUGCGGAUGUGGGCGGUGUAGCAUUUUGAGUCAACGGGGUAAAUUGGGGAUUAUUAGAAAUGAGUGUUGAGGGCAUUCGGGAGGGCUGGUUGUUGGGGUCAGAAAUGGAUUGGGCUUGGGAUUGAUUAGUGGGAAAUGCUAAUGGGACAGGGGGAAGGCUAGUGGGAAACACACAUGGGGGACACAAAUCAUGCGCGGCCGAAAGUGGUUCAUGUGCAUGUGGAGCAACAAGCUGCUGCACGCGUGAAGACUUUUGGGCUGGGAUGUUUGCUCAUGGCUGCUGCACGCGUGGAGACUUUUGGGCUGGGAUGUUUUCUGAUCUUGACUGGAUUCGGUGGUGUUUGCUUGCAUGGGGAGCUGACAAUCGCCGGUCAGCAGCUGCAGCUGGCUGUGAACACUGUUCCGAGUGCGUGUGUGUGAGACUUUUUGGCUCGUGGGGGUUGUUUGUGUAGGAUAUGGUUGUGGCUGACUGGAUUUAACCACGGUGGUUGCAUCUUGAAGAGGUUCUUGAUUAAAUUGGCCAUGAAGCACGGGCUGGUUUUGAGAAUGCAUAGGGGCUGUAACAGCUGGCUGAUCGUCUCCCGAGUGAUCAUGUAUGGCUUGUGUUGGCUGCGGACUAGAUGCUGGAAGCUGGUUUGUGUUAGCUUGUGAAGGCUUGGUUCGAUUUGAAGGUGAUGAUGGCUCGACGGUUGGAAGGUGGUCAUGGCUAGUUAAGGUUGGAGUUUGCUGUUGAAGGGAUGACGAUGGCGAUGGUGGUUGAUUGGCUGUGUUUACGGAAGUUGGUGGCUGUUGGGGUUGGAUGGCUGGCGAUUGGCUUUUAUAUUUUGAACGAGUUUUCCUUUGAGAUCUCCUAAGAAAAGGAAAUUCGUUUUUGGAAGUGAGGGGGAGAAUCGGUGGAGGCUGGCUGCCAUUACCAUCAGCCGGUAAGUUCAUGAUAGCCGGCUCGUGAAGGGAUGGUUGAUUUGCUGCAUCAUGGCAGCCUUCAUGAGACGUUUCUUCUUGUUCACUUACGACAACAGAGGUGGGUAAGGGCUGCCGAAAUUUCGAGAGGAUAGAGGCAGUGGAUGUCGGUGGUUGAUCAGCAUGAUGGUGGAUUGGAGAUGGAGGGUCUGCAUGGGAGUGGUUUGGAGAGAAAUGAUUUGGUUGUGUGGAUGGAUUGAGGUCAUUUUGCCGCUGGAGUGAUUUGAUUCGCGGUGGUGACAGUUGGACGUCAGGCGGUGGAUCAUUGGUGAAUUUUGGGGGUCGUCUAAAUGAUUUCUUAGGAGGGAUCAAACUCCUAAUAAUUCGUUCUUCGGCGGAGAGGGUGUUGACCGGUGAUGACUGGUUGCCAUCACCGGAGGCCGGAGAGGCCAUUAAGGCCGUUUAAGGCUUAGGGGGGGGGCUUGAUAGAUAGUCUUCAAACCAUUUGUUCCGGUCACUUAUUUUUCUAAACAAACCAAUUCACCCAGUUUCCCCUCCAUGACUACUUUUAGCCUCCGUGUGAUUCAAAAUAAUUAACACAGACGUCCUGCGUGUCACAUGUAACGAGCUAAUUCUGUUAAGGCCUUCACUCCAUAGUCUUAAGAUCUCAGUGAACAAUAAAUUCUUCAGAUUCAAAUGGCAAAUGAAUUGCACAACAAGGCAUAAACCCCGCUUGAAGGCAACCCGCUAUAAUUAAUACAUAAAAAGUUCAAUUGCUCAUAAAAGAAAGAUACAGUAAACUAGUGGUAUUGUAGUAUAAACAAUACUGGUUUUUCUAUCUUGGUGGUUUCUUGAUAGUGUUCAAAUAUCAGUCCUCGAAGAAAGAUAGAGGAAAGCUAAAGAAAAAUAAGCUAAUUCAUUAUUGACAUAAUGUGACAAUUGCACGCAACUCUUGGAUGUUUUUAGCCACCGAAAUUUUUAACAUUAAUGAUGAAUUACAAAUAUGUGAAUGAAAACUUAGAAACAAAUUUUUGCUGUGAAAGAAAGUAAAAGAGAGCAGAGAAACAAAAAACAGAGGAUUUCAUUCGUCAUUCAUAACUGAUUUUCCUAGUGCAAAUGCGCAAGGUUGAACAUUCAAAAUCCAUAAUUCUAAAUCAAAAUCACCAACAGACACCUGUACAUGAAAUAUUCAGGCCUUCACUCUGGCCUUAAGACCUCAUGUACGAGAAGUUCGUCAGAUUCAUAUAGCAAAUGAAUUGCACAAGAAGGCAUAAAAAUUAGUAUAUUUUUCAAGAACCGAGCUUGAAAGCAAUGAAAUAAAAAUUAAUACAUAAAAGUUCAAUUACACAUAAAAGAAGGAUAACGGUAAACCAUGGCCAGGCAAGAUCACGGAUGAAAUAUACAAAUUUCACAAGCCAAUAUAAACAACAAUCAGUGCAUGCAUCAAUGAAAGAAAACCGUGGCCACUGCCAAUACGAGUUCAACCAAAGGAUUCAUCUUAAUUGCAGAUUCAUCUUCGUCUUCUCCUCGAUUGGAUGUUAUUGCUAGAUUUUCCUCUGUUCUGGUGCAACUCUUAUUAAUUGUUGGACCACAACGACCCAGAUUAUAACUCUUUUCAUCAAACCUGCCAAAUUGUUUUUUGUCUGGGAUCAGACCAGACAAGUUCUUGUAUGACUCGUUAAAGUUGGAUAAAUAGUUGAUGAGUGAUCUGAAGAUCACCGAUCAGAAAAUUUUUCAUUUAUGUUUGUGUAAAUUAUUCAUAGUAUGGUCUACUAUGAAAUUACAAAAAUAAGCAUAGUAAAUUUGAAUAAAGGAAAGGAAAAUGAGAAGGAAAACAGAGGAAGGCUAAGGACAAAUAAGCUGAUUCAUCAGUAACUCAAGAUCACAACUUUUGGAUGUUUUUAGCCUCCGAAAUUUCAACAAAUAUUCAAGUGAUGUGAGGUUGGUCAAGGUAGAAGGAAAGUUUCCACUUAAUUGAAACUUUGAGCUUAGAUCCAACUCAAAAGGAUUCUUCAAAUUACAUAGUCCUGAACUUGAAAAUAAAAGAUCAAAAUUUUAUAGAAUGAAAACUAAUUAUAGCGAAUUCGAUCAAAAUCCAGUACAAGACUUAGAGAACAGACAAAAAUCAAAUUGCCUAAUUAUUUUGGUCAGCACAAAUAAUAAUAGAGUAAUGUGAACUUAUUUCUCAUAUAAUAUGAUGUUGAUUGCAAAAACGUUUCAAUAAUCUGGAAAAAGGGAAAAAAAAUAAAAUGCCCUCAGCACUUUUUGCUCAUCAUAGCCCGAAGUCCUUCUUGUUUAACAUUAUGAUUUUCUGAGGAAGAAUUUGUUCACUUGAUGUUGUUCAUUGGACAAUGGUUCUGUAACCUCUAAACCUAUUGGAUAAUGUAAAGAGAAAUUCAUAAUAUUUUAGUUGUCUUCUUAAAUAAUAAAUUGUCUCAAAAUACAAUUAAUUUGUCUUAAAUUUAAUUUAUUCCUCAGCAUUCAAAGAAAAACAAAAACAAAAAAAGAAAAAGAAAAACGACCUGGUCUUUAUAUGUAAUUUUGUCCAAGUACUUUGAUCAACAAAUCAUUAGGAAGGUGGUGUAUCAGUGAUGCAAAUAUUUAAUUAUCAUGUUUCAACAUAACAAUUCUGUGUAAAUUGUUCACUUUAUGUUUCUAGAGAACUGUUUAUAUUAUUAUUACUACUCAAAUUCAAUGCUUCCAAGUAUUUGAAUUUAAUUAGCUAAUCCUGUAUCAAGAAUUAAUUAAUGAACAUAAGAUAAAUGUCAUAUUAGUUAGAUUUAGAUUUUUUUUUUCCAGUUUUGAUGUAUAGAUAAAAAUAAUACUUCAAAAGCAUUGAAAUGUAAGAGCUAUUAAAAAAAUGCUUUUCAUUCAAAGCUAUAAGUAAUGAAAUGAAGAUAGAUAUCAUUGUUGAUUUAAAAAAAAUCAGAAAAAAAAAAAGAAAAGAGUGAAAGAAAAGAGCAGGUUAUGUUAGAAAAUAGUGAUAGAGUAUGUUAAGGACUAAAAUUUAUUAAAGAAAGCAGUGGUUCCAUUUGAAAUUUGAUCAAGUUAGAAUUAGUCAAUUAUGCAUCGAGAAUCAAAAGAAUGAAGAAAGGGAAUUCAAAUUAGACUUACAAAAUUAUAAUAAAGUGAUUAGUUAAGAUCCAAUUAAGCAGAUUUACUAAAAAAAAUAUUGAAAAAUAAAGGGCCAUAACAUUGCCAAAAGGACUAGGAAACUAAGUAGGAAGGGCUGAUUGUUGCGGAAUACCUUGAAGUGUAGGUUAUUCCACAACCACGAAGACCAAUUGCUUUCAAGUUUGUCAAAUAUGCCAAUCCUACAACAAUAUAAAGCAAAAUGUUACUAUAAAAUUAUUGUAGAAGAUUGGUAUUUUCAGUAGCUUACCUAGCCUUCUUAAAGCGCCACUUGUUAGAUUUUCAGGUUAGAUCCAACACUUGCAAGUUUCUCAAAUCUGCUAAUCCUACUCAGUAAACAUUAAUUUUGAUCAAAUCAAUAUCCUUGAUUGAAUAUAAAAUUUAUGAUUAAACCAAUAAAAUUUAUUCUACUUGAUUUUUGUACAAUUUUUUUUUCACUUGAUCAGCUGUUUUAUUCCCUUAAAAUAAAUGAAUUAAAAAAAUGUUAAUUGUUUUACGAGUUAAUAAUUUUAUAUUUAUUUAUUUAUUUAUUUUACCUUCUAUUUAUUAGUCUUUUGAAUAAUUUAUAAGAUUUAACAAUUGUAUUAGAUGUAAUAUUUUUAAAAAAAAAACUAUUAGCAUUUAUUAUUUAAUAAAUCUAUUUAGAUAUUUUUAAAAUUUGUUAUUGAUGAUAGAGUUUGGGUCAAUGGUCAACAAUUAAUAGUUACUAUGAUUUUUUUUUCCCUCCCUUUCUAAUUGAUAGAUUUCAUGUGUUCCGAAAACGAAGUUUAAGGAAAAAGAAAAGGAAAAGGAAAAGGAAAAAAAAAUGGCUGUGAGGCCACUUUCCCUGGGUCUUGGUUGCAAUGCGCGCAUGUACACAGGCUGAAGCCAGCAAGAUGGUAUCAUAAGUUAACAAUGAGAACCUUACUCUGAGAACAAGGUAUAAUUUGCUCACAUCAGUUAAAACAUAAGUUAGGUUGUGAUUUAUUGAUUGCACAUUCACCACAGGCACGUAUUGGGAGGAUAUUUAAGCCGAUCAUCAUCUCAGGUAAUCUUUCUUAGGAAUUGGAGAAAUGAAGCUAAAAGAGCACCAAUAAUUUCAAACAUAUAUACCUUGCUUGAUUCUGGAACCUUCAAUGUUAUUGGAACGAAGAUUCAGAGUGGUAAGUGAAGUUAGUGUAUGUUGAGUACAUAAAAGCACCAGGUCGGCCAUACUACUAUUUCCGCCCCAGCAAGGAUCACCUCAGCCAAAUGGUACGAGCAGAACCGGGGGCAACACGAGCCGAGCAGAGACGAAUACUGACCAGAGGCAUAUACCGAGCCGAUACCUGUCCCCCAAGAGGCGGGAACACGAUCUCACAAGAUCGCGGCAGUUGCGCUUUCCCAGAACCGUUGCAGGAGACGCGAGAUCCCACGUUUGCCCAUAAUGCAGCAGUUAGAGUCCCAUGAGGGGCUGCCACGACCCGAAAAAGGUGGGACGAAGGGCAAAAUGGAAACAUGGGGACAGUGGCUAUAAAAGAAGAAGAAAUCGACAAAGAAGGAGACAGAAAAAUUGAGGGAGGGAAAACGCUGCCAAAUUUCAACCAGGCCAUUUUCUUACAAAUCUCUAACAAACUUCUUGAAUCCAAAUUACAUUGUUUUCCCGUGAACACCUUGUGCUAACUUAAGCAUCGGAGGGUUUACGCCGGCAAAACCACCAGAAUCUGGUCGGUCCAAGGGCGAGCAGAUUUCAGCAUCAACAUUUUGGCGCCGUCUGUGGGGAGCUGGAUAAAAAGCUACCACCGAAUUAGUAGUUACCGGAGAAACAGCGAACGAUUAGACAUGGAUGUGCCAAGGAAGGACGCUUUGAGGGAGGAUAACGAAUCGGGGGAGACAAUCACCCUUCGGGAAAUUGCAAAUGAAGCCCGAGAGAGGGUGAUGUAAGAUCGGUUGGAACGAAUGGAGAAGCAAAUGGAGACUCUCGCUACCAUACUGAAUGAGCUGAGAGAUGAGCGGAGAAGGGAUUUCGAAAUCCCCGUGGGGAGAGAUGAUGUUGGAGCAGAACUCAACCUCCGGAGGUGUAGAAUCGAGGAAAUCCCUCCGCCGGCGGACCAACCUUAUGGGGUGCAUCCCCACAGAAGCACUGGUCGGGUUCCUGGAGAACAAGUAGUUGAAGGGAGGAACCAACCUCGCCCCAGGCUAGUACCGGAAGCUGAUGGCCGAGGGGCCAGUGCUGAUGAAGGAGAGUUAAGACAGCGGUUGCAGAAUGUCGAGCAGGAGCGAGAUCAGAUAGCUGCACGUGAUCCUGACCGUGCUGUAGAAUUGGAGGGAGAGGUGCGCAGAUUAGCCAGGAGUUGGCCGAGCAGUUCCGAGGGGCAGUGGCCCCAGAGGACGACAUGAUGGAACUGAUGGGGAUGAAACAGGAGGAGCAUGAAUCCCUUCGAGGAUUUGUAAAACGAUAUCACCGAGCCGUGCUGGAUCUGGGAGCUUUUAAUCACCCGCAGGCGUUGAGGGGAUUAAAAGAAGGUGUAAGAAUCGGUUGACUGUGGUAUAACUUAAGAAGCCCCCUUGUACAGAAUUACUCGUCGGGGUAUGAGCAGGCGAGGCGAGAUAUAGAAAUCGAAGAGGAGAAAUCGGCAAGAAUAAAAAGUGAACAGCUGGACGAGCUGAGGUGAAAGGAACGGAGAGCCCCGACAGGGAGCGGGUCGGGAAAGCGAACUGGAGAAUCUUCAGGGAUGGGCGGAAUAUCAGCUCGGUCCCGCCCUUACCCCAUAGCUCCGAGAGCACAACAGUUCCAACAUAGCCGGGCUCAACCUCCGCGCCCCCUGAUCCCAGAGCGGCAGCAAGAUUUCCGGCAGAUGGCUGCCCACCCCUAUCACAACACUCCCAGAGCAUUACAUGCAACCAAUUCCAGGGCUAGACGACCAGAUCAGUUAGAGACUGUGCCAGCCCGAGGUGACAUUCACGAUAGCCGAGCAGUUCAGCUGGUAGACCAGAGCUUGGCAUAUAGACAGUACACUCCAUUAAAGAUCUCCCUGGAGGAAUUGUAUGAGAGGAUCGAGGGACGAGGCCUGCUGUAUCCUCCAGCCCCAAUAACAAAACCGACUUACCGACGGGAUAAGAGCUGAUUCUGCAAAUUCCACGACACUCACGGUCACACUAUAAGCCAGUGUCGUGACCUGAAGAUUCAGGUGGAGGAUUUAGUGAGGAACCGAUACUUGGACGAGUAUGUAGAUGGAAUGUCCCCUGUCGUGGAAUCACAGUACACACGGGAUGAAGGAGUUGAGAGGGAUCUGGAACGUGAACAGCCGACCAUCCGUGUGAUAGCAGGAGGUCCAACAUUGGCCGGGGAUUCGAACAGAGCACGGAAGAACUAUGGGAGAUACGCCAUGACUGGCAAAGAGGUGCUUCUGAAUUUGCCAGCAGCCAAGAAGGCAAGAGUACGACAAGUUCCCAUUAUGUGGACGGAGGAUGACGAAGAGGGCAUUUUGUACCCUCAUGAGGAUGCACUGGUGAUUAAAGCAUUAGUGGCUAGCACAGAGUUGAGGCGAAUACUGGUGGACACGGGCAGCUCAGUCGAUAUUCUGUUUAAAUCGGCCCUAGAUGAUAUGGGGAUUUCAGACUUAAAGCUGGAGCGGACGAAUACAUCCUUGAAGGGAUUUGGAGGGGGACGAUUAACUCCCAUGGGGGUCAUUGAACUCCCGAUUACUGUGGGGACAAAGCCGUUUGAAAGAACGAUGAUGCUGGACUUUGUCGUAGUAGAGGAAAGAAGUCCUUACCAGAUGAUACUGGGGAGACCGUUCAUGAGGAUAAGCCAAUGCGUAAUGUCCACGCAUUAUCUGGCGCUGAAGUAUAGAAUAAAUGGAGUUGUGGGUGUAGUAAAAGGCGACCAGAGAAUGGCGAGGAGCUGCUAUGCUACAGCGGCCAAGGAAACGCUGCAGGUUACCUCUCUAGAUAGCCGAGGGGAUUCAAAAAAUAGUCGCCAGGAACCUGUUGAGAAGCUGGAGGAGGUUAUUGUAAGCAGGAGUGACCCUAGCAGGGUCACACGUUAUUACAACAAGAACGUACGUGUGAGGCAGUUCCGAGCAGGAGAUUGGGUGCUCAGGAAGGUGAACCAAAAUACCAAGGAUCCUAACCAUGGAGCUCUUAGUCCGAAAUGGGAAGGCCCGUACAGGGUGAUACGAGCAACUGGUCCGGGAGCUUAUAAGUUAGCGUACCGAGAUGGACGAGACGUGAAGAGGUCAUGGAACGCCGAGCAUUUGAAGAAGUAUUUCCAGUAAGCAAAAUACUCUACUAAAUCUUCAAUUUGAUAAGUUAUAUUGGUCAAAUGCAUGGUGGCUUGGUGCACAUGCAUAUGUUUUGUACUUUUGUAACGCAUUCAAAUUUCAAUAAAGAGGAAUUCAGCAUGAAAUCCCCCGGCUAAUAAGCCCAUCAAAAAUCUGCUAAGGCAAGUAAAUGCCUACUUCUGCUCGGUCAACGAAAGACCAGCAACUAAAUUUACGAAGAUUUUACCAAGGCAAGUAAGUGCCUACUUCUGCUCGGUCCACGGAGGACCAGCAGCUAAAUUGACGAAGAUUUUACCAAGGCAAGUAAGUGCCUACUUCUGCUAGGUCCACGGAGGACCAGCAGCUAAAUUUACGAAGAUUUUACCAAGGCAAGUAAGUGCCUACUUCUGCUAGGUCUGCCUACUUCUGCUCGGUCAACGAAAGACCAGCAACUAAAUUUACGAAGAUUUUACCAAGGCAAGUAAGUGCCUGCAUCUGCUAGGUCAACGAAGACCAGCAGCUAAUUUAUCAAAUGCUCCUAAGGCGAGAAAGUGCCUGCUUCUGCUCGGUCAACGAAGACCAGCAGCUAAUUUCUCGAAAGUUUCGCUAAGGCAAGUAAGUGCCUGCAUCUGCUCGGUCAACAAAGACCAGCAGCUAAUCCUACGAAAAUCCUACUAAGGCAAGUAAGUGCCUAGUCCGGCUCGGUCAAGGAAGACCAGCAACCAGUUUUGUCUGCUCGGUCAACGCAAGACCAGCAGCUAACUCUACAAGAAAUCUACUAAAGCAAAUGCCUACUUCGGCUCGGUCAACGAAGGACCAGCAGUUAAUCCUACGAAAGGCAAAACUAAGAUACAAUCUAUGAGCAAAAACCGGACAAGAAAGCAAAUAAAGAGCAUUUAAAAAUCUUUUUAUAAAUGUUCAAUUGUUUACAAAACAAAUGCAAAUCUAGAGUCUAUACAAAAAUAGGCUCAAAGCUUAGCAGAGUCAACGGCUCCAGCGGCUGAAGGAUCAGCGAGCCCGGGAAGUGAGGGAUCAGCAACAUCAGGAGGUGGGAGAUCAGCAAUACCGGGAGGAGGAGGCAUGGACCCUUGACCCAUUUCGAAAGUGCGUCCCCCAGCAUCCCCCUCUUCCACCCCACCCGAAGGAACCUCCACCCGAUCCUGCUCACCCUGCUCCUUAUCUCCCUGGCCGGCCCCAGCCAUAUAUCUCUCCACCCCAGCCUCCAGCUUGCUCAUGUCGAGCUCGGGGUAUUCUUCCGUGAGCACAGACAUGAUGCACUUAUAGCUGAAAGCAACCCCGGAGUCAUACUUGGCAUCCAGCCGAUCAUCCACAUCAGCGGAUUUGCCUUUCUCUUCAGCCAGUUGGUCACUCAGGGAUUUGAUCUCUCCCUCAAGGGCGGUCCUCAGAGUAUCUCUCUCACUUUGAGUAGCCUGAAGAUCGGACUUCAGAUCACCCAACUCGCCCUCAAGCUUGGAGGAAGUGGACUCAGCAACAGCAACUUUCUCCUCAAGCUCCGUAAGCUGCUUGUUCAGCUCGGCCAUUUUUUCCUUGGACCGAUCAGCAGAUUCGGCUUUCUUUUUCAACUCCUGGUUAUCAGCUUGAAGCUUCUUCUCAUGACGCGCGGACCUGGUCUUGUAGCACGAGACCAUUGUGGCCAGCCUGAAGGAGACUCUCUGAACAGAAGCAGCCAACUCGGAGAGGCUCAUGCUCUCGAUCUCCUUCACCAUCUUGGGCCCAACCGACUUUUUAUAAUCCUUCUGAUAUGGGCUCAGGUAGUCACCUUGAUCCCGAGAUGGAAGAGGAGAAGAUCGGUCCCCAGACUGCAAGCUGACCUCAGGACUCUUGUCGGAGGUUUUCUCCCCAACACUCUUACGAGGUGGAGGAGGGGGCAGAGCAGGAACAGGCGCCUUGGAAGGACCAACGCUAGGUUUCUUCGGAGGAGGAAGAGGGUUGCUGGAGCUACUCGGGGCCCGACCACGCUUCCUGCUCAUCGCACUGAGGAUCUUGUUAUCCAUUCCAGCGGCUAUGUCCACUAGCCCCGAGCCGACCAGGUUUGUUGGAGACAGGAGGUCUUGGCAGGUUUGCUGGACACCACUUUCCCCCAGCAAAGAAGAAUUUGUUCUUCCAAUUUUUGCACGAGGAGGGGAAACCGGUGAUUGGCUUUCUCUUCGCAGAACUGGACAUGAAGUAGUACCAGCCCGCCUCCCUUGGGCUGCUCCGCAGCUGAUACAGAUGUUUCACUUCAACAAGGGAAGGCUCCUCCGACCCGCACCUCUCCCACAACACAAACAUUACCAAGAGAACCCUCCACCCGUUCGGGUGUAGCUGACCUGGGGCCAGGUGCAUACCUCCUAAUAUCUUGGCAAAAUAACGUUGCAGGGGCAGCCGAGCUCCUAGUUUAGGCUAUGUAAUCAAUAGGGUAGGAAUCAGCCUCCACCCUAUGGCCAAGAUUCCUUUUCUUAGCAGGUCCACUCGGUCCAGAACUGCUCCCCUCACCAUCACCAACUCCUUCAGGGAUCCCAACCCCACCAAAGCUGUGGUUCUCACCAGAGCCCGAAGCAGUUCCACCUCUAUUCCCUACAAGCUCUGGUUCGGGGGAGGGAGAGACAACCAAGGGGCGUGGGUACUCAAGGGUACCCCUACCAUGGGAAGGACCUACACUACUGGAGGGACCUAAGAAAUCAGUGGGUAUUGACACAUUGAGGCCUGAAUCCCCUGAUUCUUCAUCACCCUCAUCAACAAUUAACUUUCUCUUUCGGUUUGACAUAUCGGAAUCUCAAAAAGAAAACAAAGAAAACUCGAAUAUACGGAUACACAAGGGGGCAACACGGAACCCAAUCAACAACAACCAGAGAAGAGAUUAAAAGCAGUACCUGAAAUGAACUGGCCUUGAUAGCGCUGCCGUGACCGAGAAAAAACCAGCAAGUAGAAGCCUCGGACGCAGGAAGUAUGAGUAAAGUGCAGAAAAUGGGGUAGGUUAACGACGGAGAGACGAGUAACAAAACGAUGACGAUGUGAGUCUAGGGAUUUGAAACGAAAAGGGGGAAAUGAAAGCAUUUAAGUGAUGGAGACGCACCGUACAUCGAGGACAGAUAGCCCGUCGUUUUAAAUUUCAAAUAUGAAGAGUCUGGAGAUGCCACAUCACUAACCGUUACAAGGGGCCAGGAUAGAUGUAAGCCCAGAUAUGCAAUGGACAUGCUCAUUUAGGCCCAUACUCAGGUCGAAAUCUCCCCAGAAGAAAAAUGGUACCUCAGAUCCGUCUCAGUAAACAGAAGACCAGAUGAGAGGCUCCCCGGGUUGGUGAGUUUUGACAAUCAGUUUCUACUCUUCACUCGUUUCACUCGCCAGACCAGAAACUGGGGGACUGGUGUUGAGUACAUAAAAGCACCAGGUCGGCCAUACUACUAUUUCCGCCCCAGCAAGGAUCACCUCAGCCAAAUGGUACGAGCAGAACCGGGGGCAACACGAGCCGAGCAGAGACGAAUACUGACCAGAGGCAUAUACCGAGCCGAUACCUGUCCCCCAAGAGGCGGGAACACGAUCUCACAAGAUCGCGGCAGUUGCGCUUUCCCAGAACCGUUGCAGGAGACGCGAGAUCCCACGUUUGCCCAUAAUGCAGCAGUUAGAGUCCCAUGAGGGGCUGCCACGACCCGAAAAAGGUGGGACGAAGGGCAAAACGGAAACAUGGGGACAGUGGCUAUAAAAGAAGAAGAAAUCGACAAAGAAGGGGACAGAAAAAUUGAGGGAGGGAAAACGCUGCCAAAUUUCAACCAGGCCAUUUUCUUACAAAUCUCUAACAAACUUCUUGAAUCCAAAUUACAUUGUUUUCCCGUGAACACCUUGUGCUAACUUAAGCAUCGGAGGGUUUACGCCGGCAAAACCACCGGCGUCUCUGAUCCGUUUUUGCUGAACGCAGGUCUGGUGAGAGAGGGAAGGGCGAUUCCAACCCCAGUGGUUCGAGUGACAGUUGAUAACACAAACGUUGGUGAUAGAAUCUGGUCGGUCCAAGGGCGAGCAGAUUUCAGCAUCAACAGUGUAUUCAAAUAUGGUAAUAUGCUGUCGUUGAGGAAAUUACCACCAAGAUUUAAGAUCUUCAGAUGUCUCAAACUCCCAAAGCUGUCGUAAGCUUCAAAUGCAUAUGAAUUACUAUCAUUAAUUAGUCACUGACAAAAUAAUUAUGAAUGAGUAAUAUAUACAUAUGCUUGUACCUUUAUUCUCAUAGAAGUCAAGGCACUGCAAUUCUUCGAAAGGGUGAAACAAUGACAUAUUCAGAAGAGAAACUUCAUAAGAAUAAAAGAGUUAUAAUCAGAGUAGUUGAUUUUUUUUUUCUGAUUGAGUGAGAGUUGCGUCACCCGUCGGGUGGUGGCGUUGCACUUAACUCUCUCCCAAUCGUUACAACAAUCAGACGACAUUCCAUCAUCAUCAAAUCAUGAAGAAAGAACUUCGUCAUCAUAUCCAACAUCACUGGCUGAUGCGAAGAAGCUCUUGAUUUCCAACAGAGCAAUCCUCUCUGUUUCCAAGCAUGCUUUGUAUCCAUGUAACUGAAUCAAAGCUAUGCCAAUCCACAAUGACAACUUCAUCAAAAGCAUUUUCAUUAUUAAUAGUAACUGCAAGAGAAACACUCACAAGAUUUACCUGUCAAUUGUUGCUCUCUUGAAUUUUUUCUGGUUCUCUAGCAAAUAUAUGACUUAUAUAUACAAUGGAAAUUUUGUGCAGAAUGAAAAUUUUGCGCAUUUUCACGUGCCCUGUCAAUGAGAAAACAUGCAUUGAUUGAAAAAAGUAAGUGAGAGAAUAUUACCUGUUGAUACAUGUUAUCUACUUGUGAAAUAAUUGAAGAUGCAAAAUGGUUGAUUUCACGGGCCUGGCCUUUGGCAAAGUGAAAUGUUAGCCACACACUUUUACCAGUCCAGUGUCAACAUUUGUAGCAUAAGGAAAUUGCGGCAUCUCAGCUGGAUUUUGAGGGUCGCUAUUUCGUAUAUCAGUCCCAUUAUUUGUUAGUGGGGACUCACACUCUGUCCUAUAAUGGGCUCACAAAUAUUUAACAUAAUUUUGAUAAUUACUUAAACCGCGUGUCCUUGAUAAUUAAAGAAAAAGAGAAGUGAAUGCAGUAAAAGAUACUGAUGGCCGUAAUUAUGCAAAUAAAUACAAGACUUUACAGUAGAUUAGACCACCAAUUGUGCUUUUUCGUCCAAUAAUAAUGCAUCUGCUUUAGCACGAUACGAGUGAACUUAGGCUUAUCUUUCUUUCGCAAUGUAAAUUCUUGCCAAAAAAUACAUGUUAUCUACUGGUGAAUUAGUUUGAUAAAAUAAAGGCUUAAAGUUUAGUUGAGUAAAAUGUUGGCGUAAAGAAAUUAGCUACUGGAAAAUCACCAAAUGCUUGUUAAGGUAAUAUACAAUUGCAAUUGAACAUCAAGUGAUGGAAACAUCAAAAACCCCAUAAAAAAAUUAAACAAAACCAGUUGCAAUGCAAAUAAACAAGUUUUCAGUUAAGAUGGCAGAACUAAUUCCUUCACAAUCAAGUGUGGUUUCUCAAUUUGUUCUAUUUGCCCAAAAAGACAUGGUCAAGUAUCUGAAAGCAUUUUUAUUUAGUUGACUAUUCGAGUUUGAAUUUGGAAUAAGAGGUUAAAAAAUAAGUUUUGUCUUUUCUCACCCCUUUUACCUUUAGAAAAAAAAUUUAAUUUUUGGUCAAGCUGACUUAAGUGCAUCAUGUGCAAAUCACGUGACAUCCUGAGCUACCAUGUAAUUUGGCUUUAUAAGUGUUUUCUGUUUCUGAAAACAAAAAAUAAUAAAAUGGAAAUGCCUUUAGCUUUUGGCUAGACAUUUUCAGAAACGUUUUUCGUGAACAGAAAAAGUUUUUGUAAAGAGGCAUUGAGCGGUCAGGCGCUUGUCGUGGCCUGCGGCCUGCAGUCCUCAACAAUCCUCAUCUGGCCUCUUUAUAAUCCACUUUUAAUAAAAUAUAGAUAAAAAUAGAAAUAUUACUGAUUUCUAGCACAUCAUUCAAAUUAGUUGCUAUUGUAUAUCUAGCUAGUUUUGAACAAAGUAAGUGAGAAUAUUACAUACAUCUGCUUUAGCAAGAUACGAGUGAAUUAAAACAUUUGACCAGAUGAAAGAGAGAAAAGAAUGUUGAAAUAUUGACUUGAAUAUUGUGGUAAAAUGAGUUUGACUUUAGUACCGACCAAAGAAAUAACUGAAGAUGCAAAUUAAUUGGUUAGUUUGAGGUGCAUGGCUAUUGGCAAAGUGAAAUGUUAGCUUUACACUUCACUUGUGAAUGUACAACAACAUUUGCUGCAUAAGGAAAUUGCGGCGUCUCAGCCGGAUUAUGAGAGUUGUUUUCAAAUCCCAUUUCUCUUCUUCGUAUUUGUUCAUUGCCACAACAUUUGAUGCAAAAUUUGAUGACUACUCAAACGCGUUUCCGCAAUAACUAACGAAAGAAAAAGCGAACGAAUAAGCAAGAGAUACUGAUGACAGUAAUCAUGUAAAUGAAUACAAGGCUUUACAAUAUGCUUUCUUUCACAUGUAAUCUGCUGGUGAAAUAAUUUUUAUAAAACAGAGGCUUAAAGUUAAAGCUGAUUAAAAUAUUGGCGUCGAGAACGCUACAUGGAAAAUUCAACCGUGAGCUGCAGUCUGCAGUCCCCAACAAUCCGGGAAAAGGUUGAGGAGGCGCGCCCCUGCACAUUAAUUUGGCAGGUCUGAUGGGAUUUAUAAAUUAAAAUAAUGUAAUUUUAUAUAUUUUUUAAAUGAAAAAUUCAUUGAUGCCGCUGUGCGAUCCAUUGGAUCCUCGCGUGUUGGCUCCACAAGAGUUUCUCCCUAACAAUCUCCAUCAAAGCUCUUUAUAAUCCAUUUUUGAUAAAAGGAUACAUAUAUUUAUUCAAAUAUUAGUAAAAAUAGAUACAAUGCUGAUUUUUAAAUUAUACUUAAAUUAUACUUAAUGAACAUUUAGACCGACCUGUAAAUCUAUGAAUUCAAACUUCCACAACACCAUCAAUUAUUUUUAGCCUGCAUGUUACAUAUAUUUAUUCAAUUAUUUUUAGCCUGCAUGUUUGAUUGUGCUUCUGUUCUAUAGCUUCGUUAUGUUCAUUGAUAUUUUGUUGUUGUGCAGUAGUACCCAGUGUUCUUGAUAUCGCAAUCAUCACCCCAUAUGAAUCACAAGUUGUUCUCAAGGUAUACAUUUAUACUUAUCAUUAAUACUUUUUUGUUUUGCCCUCACCAGCUAUGAUUAGCAUAUUAUUUUUUAAAACUUUAUAAAUAUAAAUGAAUUAUUAAUUAAUCAUCUUUUUUUUUUAAUUGAAAUUUGCUCAAAGGGCAUCUCCACUGACAAGAUACUUGAUGUGAAAAAAUUGUUGGCUUCCAAUGUAGAAACUUGCCACCUCACAAAUUAUUCUCUCUCUCACGAGGUAUAUAUAUUUUAUUAUCUCUCCCCUUUUUUUUUUAAAUUAUAUAGAUUAUGAAAUUUCAUUUUAAAUUAAUGAAAAUAAGUAAAAUGGCUAACUUAGGUUUUGUUGAAGGCUGUAAAUGGUAGAUCGGAUGUCGAUAAGGGAUGGAGCCGCUGCCGACGAGGGCUGAUGUUGCCACCGAUGAUGGGAGUUUCUUCGGUUUGGGAGAGAUGGGUGAAAGAGAGUGUUGGGGGAGAAAUGAGAGAGAGGGGUAUUUUGGUCUCAAAGGUUCUUUUAUGGCUAUUGUUGAUAGAAAUUUGUUUGGGGGGUUAAGAUGGAAAAAAUCAAAACUUUUAUGGUUAUUGGUGUAAAUUUCCCUAAUUUUCAACCAACCGUAAAUUUUAAUCUAUUAAAAAAAUUAGUUGGCAGACAUGUAAACAGAGCAAGAAGGUUUACAGAAGUGUAUUAUUUUAGAAUUAGUAACUUUUUCAUGAAUAAUUAAUAUGAUUAGAGUUUAACAAAAUUAUAUGUAAAGGCUUGUUUAAAGAGUGAAAAUUUUAUUUUUUUCUCAUUUUUUAGUGCUUAUAAUUAAAAUUUAAUCUAGAAGUAUUUUAAUUAUAAAAAAAUUAUUUUCAAAAAUAAGUUUGACGAAUAGUUUAGUGCUAAAAUAAUAAAAGAAAAUAAUAGUUUAGUGCUAUAAUUAUUUUCUACUUAUAAUUAAGUUAAUAUUUAAUAGAAAGAACUAAAAUAAUAAAAGAAAAAAGAAUUUGCCCGGCAAUUCCUUGUUAUUUACAUUUUUGGCACUGUCCUUCGCAGAGGAAUACACCGAGGAAUCUCAGGCCGUGGCACACGUGCGGCAGCUUCUCGACAUCGUCGUGUGCACCACAUGGUUCUCCAAGUCCAGAAACUCCCGAUUGCCGCCACCGUCAGAGUCAUGUGCCAAAAAGAACGGCAGUAGGCCCCACCCGCCUUCACCAAACUCUGCCGCUCUGUCUGAUGGAGCAGCAACAGCAGCAGCAGAUAACCGAAGCGGGCCCCGCGCCACGUCAUCGCCAGUUUCAUCGGCGGUUUCUCCGAGUCUGGACAUGGCGACCAUUCACCCGACGCCGAAACUCUCCGAGUUUUAUGACUUCUUCUCUUUCUCUCACCUCACUCCCCCCAUCUUAAGUAAGCCUAAUUUUCAUUUAUUUAUUUGUCUUCGUUUCUUACAUGGUUGAUCAAAAAAAAAAAAAAAAAAAGAAAGAGGAAAAUGAUAUAAAUAUAUGUGAUUUAUUUGAAUAUGAAAUUUGUUUAUUGAUUUUAAUUUUUAAUAAUUUUGAUUUUGAAGAUUUGAGAAAAUGUGAACGCAAAGAAGGAGAGAAGCGCGACGGUGAUUAUUUUGAAAUUCAGGUACCAUUUAAUAUAAAGUUCUGAUUAUUGUUGUUUGUUGUUUGGGUCGAUCAAAAAAAAAAAAAAAAAAGAGGAAAUGAUAUAAAUAUAUGUGAUUUAUUUGAAUAUGAAAUUUGUUUAUUGAUUUUAAUUUUUAAUAAUUUUGAUUUUGAAGAUUUGAGAAAAUGUGAACGCAAAGGAGAGAAGCGCGACGGUGAUUAUUUUGAAAUUCAGGUACCAUUUAAUAUAAAGUUCUGAUUAUUGUUGUUUGUUGUUUAUGGACUAAUUAAUUGUAGAGUUAUUCAACUUGUUAUUUUUGCUGAUGAAUUGGCCAAUGAGUGUUAAAGAUUUAAUAAUCAUUGUCCGCCAAUUAAUAAGAAUGCAUGAAUUAUUUUCAUGUCUUCGUAAGUAAUGUGAGUAUUUGAAAGCGUGGGAAACUGUAUUUUGUGCUCACAGAUAAAAAUCUGCAAUGGAAAGCUUAUACAAGUAGUUGCAUCAGUAACAGGGUUCUAUACUUUGGAGCCAAUUGCGCCCGGUACACCUCCAUACUUCAAAAAUUAUCUCAAUACCCUAAAAUCAGUUUUUGCCGAAAUUUUCAUUGAUACCCUUUAAAAACGGAUAGGAAAUUACUAAGCUAUCCUCAUUUUAAAACAUUUCAACUCAACGGACGGCACUUCUCCCUUCUCUACUGAAGCAAACAAACACUCAUCUGCUGCAAUUCCCUCCAUUAUCAAACUCAAACAAACAAACACUGCAAUUCCCUCACCGGCAUCACCUCUGCAAUUCCCUCACCGGCAUCACCUCUACAGAAACAAAUAUUCAUUCUCCAUACAUGGUAAAUCGAACUUCAACACGAGUAAACUAAGCUUGAGAAGGGGAAGCUGCCACAACUGAGAAAGAGAAGCCUAGUUCGUCGCUACAUAAUCGCCGGCGAGAGCGGAUCCUUUACUGUAAAAUAGUCAUAAUUUAACUAGUUGAGGUAAGUAAUUCUCUAUAAAUAGUUUUCUUGUUGAUAUUCAGGGGAAAAAACAACAAAAAGUUAGGGUUUAUAUAGAAAAAAUAGAUUAAUUAGUUGCGGGUCUCUCAUUACAUGUUCAAAAACAAAUUUUUAGUUGUUUUACUACAUGCAAAUUGUGAAAAAUUGAUGGAUUGUGCCGAUUAUAAUUUUGUCAUGUAACACACAAUUUGGUCGUGUAAGGUUAUGUAGGAUUCAAGGUUGUGUAUUACACGACCUUCAUGUAUUGCACUUACACGACCUUCAUGUAUUACACGACCUCAAAAUUACACGACUUUUUUCACUGUUGUUAAUUCAUUAUAAUAACUUAGUUGUUUAAAGACUUAAUUUUUGCUAAGAAUUUAUAUUUGUUGCUAUGCAGAAAAUGUCAACGAAAAGUAUUCAGGAAAAAAUGAAAUGUGGCAAACCGAAAGCUGAAAAUUACUAAUUUGUCAUCGUUAGAACCAAUAAGAAUAAUGUGAAGGUUCAUUUUGUUAUUAUUUUUAACUAAGUAUGUUAUUAUUUUUAACUACGUACAAAUUGUGUAAAGUUAUUAAUAUUUGCUGCUGUGCAGAUUCUGACAACAUUUGAUGAUAACCCGAGUAUUGCCACACUUGCGACUGUGUUUUCAACUAGCCUUUGAUUUAAGAGUUGUUUCUAAUUGAUUUCAUGGAUUUAUUAUAUGCAGGCAUUCCUCAUGUAUGCAUGUAUGCUUCGGCAGAGGAAGAAAGCAGUUUGAAGAUAAAAAAAAAAAAAAAACUUUUUAAAUGGUUGUAAUAUGUUUAAUUACGAUAUCCAUUAGUGUAUCAUAUCCAAAUAUUGACAUUGUAAACUGAUAACUUUGUUUAUUUAUAAUAAUUAAUCUCAUCAUUUCUCAAAUUGUCGAAUAUGCAAUUUUUUUUUUUUUUGCUGUAAUUUAUGAACACACGAUUUGAUCUACGUUCAAAAGUAAUGCAAAGCGGGUUUCUAAACUUCAUUCCACUAGCUACUUCCUCUAAGAAAAAUUCCACAUCAUCAUUGGUUUGAAUUGUAACUGGUGGCAUAGGAUCAGAUGUCUUAAGUUUGAACUUCAUUGUGAUUUCGAAUUCCGAAGUAUCUAUAUCAAUAACUUCAACUAUCUUCUCCAUCAAUUCGGCAUAUAUUGUCGAUCGUGGUAUCAUUAUCCCUUUAGCCUUGAAACCUUUGAACUUAUACUCGUCAUUUUGCUCAAUUCAUUCACCAUUGAAGAGAAUAGCUUCAUGUAUUGCACUUACACGACUUCAUGUAUUUCACGACGUUCAUGUAUUACACGACCUUCAUAUACUACACGACCUCAUGUAUUACACGACCUCAAAAUUACACGACUUUUUUUACUGUUGUUAAUUCAUUAUAAUAACUUAGUUGUUUAAAGACUUAAUUUUUGCUAAGAAUUUAUAUUUGUUGCUAUGCAGAAAAUGUCAACGAAAAGUAUUCAGGAAAAAAUGAAACGAGGCAAACCGAAAGUGAAAAUUACUAAUUUGUCAUCAUUGGAACCAAUAAGAAUAAUAAAAAAUAACCUUAGUGACGUACAAUUGGGGAUUUUUCGCAAAUCAUGUUUUGGGCACUUUUUGGACUUGAAUGAGUUUCAGUUUUGUGCCCAGUUGUUGCACAAGUUGGUAUUAAGGCAUAUGCAUUCAUCCGAUAAGGCAAUGUAUUUUAAGAUAGGGAAAAAAGUUUGUCGAUUUUCAAUGUUUGAAUUUGCAUUAGUUACUGGACUGAAUUGUGAAGAAAUUUAUAAACCUAACUUGGACAUUGUUGAUGACGGUGGUCGUGUAUGUGAUGUUUUGUUGGACGGUUGCACAAAGUUCACUAACACAACGCUAGGUCAGAUAUUUGAAGCAACUAAGUCCAAGGAUGAUAUGAAAAUGGUUAAAUUUGCCAUGUUGUACUUUUUGGAGGUUGUAUUACUUGGAAAAGAAUAUAGAUCAUCUAUAAUUAGGGAUCACAUUCUCCACAUUGACAACUUUGAAGAUUUCAAUAAAUAUCCUUGGGGCCGUGUCUGUUUUGAGAACACAUUAGAAAGUAUGAAGAAUGUGAUUGCAAUUAGACAGAAUAGAGAAAGGGCAAAUCCAGACUAUGUCCCUGAAAAGGAGGCAUACAGUCUUCAUGGCUGUCCAUUUGCAGUUCAGGUAACAAAUUGUCAAUAUUGGUUUCGUAGAGAUUAUUAAGAUUAGGAAUAUUAAUUAUUUCUUUUACUUGCACAGGUAUGGGCACUUGAAAUUUUCAGUGAAGUGUGUGAAACUUUUUCCUCGAAAUGUAAGCAUGUCAAAUAUCCAAGAAUUCUAAAUUGGACAAUCACUAAACAUGUUAGCUCUAAUUCGCUUGACUAUUCCAUAUUUGAUAAGAAAAAGGUAAUAACAAACAAUCUAGAUCGUUAGUGUCUUUCUUUUUUUCUUUUUAAUUUAUCUUUGACAUUUAUUAAUUGGCCUAAUUAUUACAGCUUAAGGUACUAGAGAAGUUGGAUGUCGCUGAUGAAAUAGAGGCAUCACAGCCUAAUCUACAAUGGUUUUGGCAAACAAAUUGGCUGCAACAACUUGAAAAUGAUUUUCUUGUUGACUCAAAGAGUAAAAAAUCAGCCACUCCAGUCUCAGAACAGAAAAGUAGCAGUGUUGUGCAGAAAAAUUCUGUGGCCAUGGAAGUUAAAGAGACUAAUAAACGUGCGAAGUGUCAAGUUAUGUCCAUGAAAUGCAAAACGAAUUAUGAACAUGCAAAUUCUGUUGAGGACAAAACUGUAAGUUUUUUUAAUCUUUUAAUAACAAUUUCAUUUUUCAAUUUUUUUUGUUUGCCUAAUAGGCUCUGUCUUGUUCUGCUUGUAAGGGUAAACGUCCUGGUUACAUUGAUAAUUUGAUUUCUUUUAUCGAGGACAAGUUUAAUUGUUUGGAUAAGCGUCUCAAAAAGAUCGAAGAGAAGGUGCAGAAAAUUGACUCAUUGGAGGAGAAUACAGGUGAUGUGAGGGAGAUGAGAGAACAAGUCAAUAAAAUUGUAGACUUAGUGGAGUUCCUAAAUUCAGCGGACUACAAUGUGAAGGUUCAUUUUAUUAUUAUUUUUAACUAAGUAUGUUAUUAUUUUUAUCUAAGUACAAAUUGUGUAAAGUUAUUAAUAUUGCUGCUGUGCAGAUUCCGACAACAUUUGAUGAUAACCCGAGUAUUGCCACACCUGCGACUGUGUUUCCAAGCUUCACCACAAAUGCAGGCAUAGUCAAAGAGGAUCCAAUAAUUAUUCCGUCUACACAGCAAGAGGUGAAAAAAUAUGAAAGAAAAAGGCGAUCUCGAAAGGAUGCAGCUGUUUUACGCACGCCAUCUACUAACCCAUUUCGAAAAUCGCGACAUGUCAACGUCGAUGAAGCAAAACAGCAAGUUCAGUUUGAGCAUUGGCUGAAGGAGGAUAAUAUGGAACCGUAAUUCCUUAUUUCUCUUUGUAAACUUACUUUUAUUUGAAACAAUAUUUCUUGGUUGACUAUAACAAGUAAUAAGUUUUACUCAUAUUUUCUUGGCAGAAGAUUUGGUUGGUCCCUGAAAGAUGAGUUUCAGCAUUUGAGAAAGAUUUCAAUUCUACGUGGGCUUUGCCAUAUAAGGUACUGUCUUUUCGGUUCCUUUGGCAGCCGAUUAUUUUCAAAGCUUGAAUUUUGCUUGUAAACUUCACCCAGGUUGGGUUGGUGUUGGUUCCCAGAGAUUAUGAUAUGGAAUGCCCAAACCCAUUCACGAGAGAUGAUAUUGUCAGCAUGGUUCCUGUGUGCAAGGUAAGACUAUUUUCUCUCUUAAUUGUGUUUUGAUUUAGUUUUUACAUUCUCAAUGAGUCACUCAUUUGUAAAUUGAAUGUAAUUGUGCUAUUUUUAUGGCAUUCUACAGCAUGUAGGUUGCACUUCAGCCGAUGGACGGACCUUAUUAGAGUCAUCCAAAAUUGCCCUUGAUAAAGGAAAACUAGAAGAUGCUGUAAAUUAUGGGACAAAGGUAAUAACCCACUCGAUCUAUACGUAAGAAUUACAUUAUUCUUUUCAUAAUAAGGCAUCUCUUGAUCUCAUAUGAUGUAUUACUUGCAUUGUAAGGCACUGGCAAGGAUGAUAGCUGUUUGUGGUCCCUACCGUCGGACUACUGCAAGUGCUUACAGUCUUCUAGCUGUAGUUCUCUACCAUACUGGAGACUUUAAUCAGGUAUGACAAUCUUCAAUUGUAUUUCAGUGUUAACUUGGUGAUUCUAAGUCUAGUAUAAUUAUAACGUCCUUCUGUACGGGGGUUCUCAUUCAUCGGGACAUUUGAUUUGAAUUUUUGUAUGUUAUGGUUAGUUUUUAUGGUCUUGUAUAAAGAUAUGCAUUAGGAAUUAUAAUUUUCUGGACUUAGGAAUUACAUGUACAGGCAUUAGCAUAAUUUUGAUAUCAGAUUAUAUAUUUUAACUAAAUCAAACACGUUCAUGAUUCUUAUGUUCCAGCAUUUCGUCUAAUGGCAUCUGCGUCUGAGUGUUAGAGUAGUGUUCGUAUGUACUCAAGAUAUCUUCUUCUUCAUUUUAGGCAACUAUAUAUCAUCAGAAGGCAUUGGAUAUUAAUGAGAGGGAACUUGGUCUUGACCACCCAGAUACAAUGAAAAGCUACGGGGAUCUUUCAAUUUUCUAUUAUCGCCUUCAACACAUUGAAUUGGCUCUUAAGUGAGUAGCACUACUUGAUUUACCGGAGCAACUUUGUUUUCAUUCUUUAACUGAUUAAGGUUUAUUUAUUCAUAAAUUAAAUUGGAAGUUUCGAAAAAUGUGACCUUUGCAUUGAAUCUGCUUCGAACGAAUGCAGUUUUUAUCUACCUACUUUAGCUUUUAUUUGUCUUUUAUUGGCUCUAGCUCCUGAUCAUACCGUACCAUUGGCAGAUAUGUAAAUCGUGCCUUAUUCCUUUUGCAUUUUACUUGUGGACUUUCACAUCCAAACACUGCUGCAACAUACAUAAAUGUGGCUAUGAUGGAAGAGGGCAUGGGAAAUGAUCAUCUUUCUCUUAGAUAUUUGCAUGAGGCCCUUAAAUGCAACCAAAGACUAUUAGGAGGUGACCAUAUACAGGUUUUUCUCUCUCUAUUUACGCAUGUAUACACACUCUUUAGAAUUAUAAAUCUUUCUGUAAACUCAGAAUUUUGUUUGAUUUCUUCACGUGACAGACAGCUGCAAGUUAUCAUGCCAUAGCCAUAGCUCUUUCUUUGAUGGAGGCAUAUUCACUAAGUGUGCAACAUGAGCAAACUACACUUAAGAUUCUCCAAGCAAAGCUUGGACUAGAAGAUCUGCGUACUCAGGUGACUACAUGUAGUCAUAUUUUAAUUGGUUCUGUUGUGCAAUUUGGCUAGUUGGCUUCUCUCUUGUCAAUCUUUUACAGGUGAUAUUAUGAUAUAAAACAUAUUGUAUCGGCGGCCUAUUUUGGUGUUAAGUAUGGAUAUGACCCAUUCAUUAAUCGUAUCGAAAUAUCAAAAUACGGAUAUGACCCGUUUAUUAAUCGUGUUGACUUGUUUAAUAUUAAAUACAAACAAAUUAAAAAUUAAUUUAAAAAUAACAAAUGUGUCAAAAAAAUAAGUUAAAAUGACAUAAGUAUGACAUGAAUAAGUUUAUAACAUAAUAUGAGUAUGACAUGAGUCAUUAAUUUAGUGAUUAGUAUAUAUUUUAGUUUUUUUUUCCAAUAAUAUUAACACAUAAUAAUUGAUAUUUAUGUUAUAAACGUAUAAUCAUGUUGAGAUGGUCCAAAACAGAUAUGACCUGGUUAUUUAUCGUGUCGUGUCAACUCAUUUAUUAAUCGUGUCAAUAUUUGUUAACACAAAUAUGGGUCAUAUGUCGUAUUAUGUUGUGUAAUCGUGUCGUAAUCCAUUUUGCUACCUCUAAUCUUAACUGUCAUGAGAGAAUUUCUCAAGUUCCAUAUUAUUGAUGGGAAGAGAUUUUUGUUAUUUUGUUGUAUUUUGUUUUUCGUUUUACAGGAUGCUGCUGCAUGGCUGGAGUAUUUUGAAUCAAAAGCUCUAGAGCAGCAAGAAGCGGUACGGAAUGGAACCCCAAAGCCAGAUGUGUCCAUUGCGAGUAAAGGUCACCUUAGGUAUUAACAGGGUAUUCCCACAUUACUUGUUUCUAAAUUGUUGAUUAUUUCUUGUGGCACCAAGACCUAUAAUGAUCGCUUUUCGCAGUGUAUCAGAUCUCCUGGAUUACAUAGGUCCUGGUCAAGAUUCUAAAAGAAGCGAAGCACAUAGGAAACAACGACGUGCAAAGGUAGUACAUACUUAGUGCAUGUUUAGUAUGACUUAUCUAAUGGUCUUAAAUUUUUAUUUAAUCCUAUAAGCUCUUAUCAAAAUUUUUUGUGUUGUUUAAUUGUUUUUUUAGUAGAGCUCUUGAAAAUUAAAUAAACUAUUUUGCCUCUACUACAAAAAGCUCAAAUUUUGUGCUUUUGAGAAUAGAGGUUAAUUUUUUUUUAAAUGUUAAAUUAUCUAAAAUAUUCUCUAUUUAUAUGACAAUCUUAUUUUAUUCUUUUCAAAACAUAACUUUAAAAAAUUUGCUUAUUAAAGUAAUUUUAUAAUUUUUAAUAAAAGCUCUUAUUGACAACCAAACAACACAAAUUUUUGAGUAAAAACUUUACUUAUAAAAUCUUUACUAGCAGAACUCUACUCAAAUAAGAUCUAUUUGAAAAGCUAUGUGAAAUGAAGCAUUAAGCAUGCUGCUGUUCUCUGUUCCUUUUUUCUUGUGAUGUCCAUCUGAAUGGAUUCUUAAACUAAUUGUAGUUAGGAUUUGGUAUUUUAGAGUACACUCUGCUGGCAUAUAGUUUUGGAUUUGCUGAUUACACGAGUAAACUUGUUGUCCAUGCAAAAUGCAACUAACUAUUGCUGGAUAAUAGUUCUACUUUUCUGAGUGAACUCUGAAGGCACCAAAUAUAAACAUCCAUUUCUACCAUACCCCAACAAAAAGAAAUCUAACAUGCUUAUAUAGAUCACAGACAUGAUUGAAACUUUAGAAGGUUCUGAUCUAUUGAUGGCCAUAGAUUGGGCCAGCUGAUAGUUAGUAGGCAAUGAUGGAGGGUUGCUUGGUCAAGCUGCUAGUUCUUUAGAAAUUCAGAGAUGAUGAGCAGAACGAGUGAUAGUUUUUGUUUUACCCCGUAACCUUGAACAGAGUGAGAAGAAACCAUUAAUUUGAAGUGCAAUGGAUGGAUAUGACGGAUCUAUCAUUUUGGCUAGGAGAUGGAGUUCUUCCAUUCUACUGUUAUUUAAUGGUUGUUAUUAUUGAUUCUAGAAAAACAUUUUUCGAUUUGGCAGUUUGAGUUUUUCCCUUUUUUUUUUUUCCUCAUUUUGUAGGCCUUAGAGAACCAAAUAAUACUACAUAUUAGAAAGACAGGAUUAUUAUGUGCUAAUUUGAAGUAUUACCUGGUUGACAAUUUAAGACAAUAGUAAAGUAUUUCGCUGUGAUUAUUUUUUUUGAGAAUUCCAUGAUUCAAAAGGCUGAAGAAUUUCAUUAGUUUAACAUAAUAUAUAUUAGCAUAAUUUCUCACUGAGUGUUUUUUUCAACAUUUCAGGCAUGUACAUAUCAAAUUCCCAUUUAUGUUCCACUGAAUUCUGCCUCAUGUUAUGUCUGGAUUUGUUGUAAUAAAUUUUGCUAUUGUAAAAUUACAAGAUGAUUGUAACUUAAAAUGAAAUAUUUCUAUUUGCUCAAUUUUUGACAUUUUAUAUGCAUACAAGUUAAAAAGGUUUUGUUUUCUUUUUUUGGUUUAUUUAUUUUUUUCAGGUAAUGCAGAUUAGGGAAAAGAUUCCCCCAACAAAAAGAAAUCUAACAUGCUUAUAUAGAUCACAGACAUGAUUGAAACUUUAGAAGGUUCUGAUCUAUUGAUGGCCAUAGAUUGGGCCAGCUGAUAGUUAGUAGGCAAUGAUGGAGGGUUGCUUGGUCAAGCUGCUAGUUCUUUAGAAAUUCAGAGAUGAUGAGCAGAACGAGUGAUAGUUUUUGUUUUACCCCGUAACCUUGAACAGAGUGAGAAGAAACCAUUAAUUUGAAGUGCAAUGGAUGGAUAUGACGGAUCUAUCAUUUUGGCUAGGAGAUGGAGUUCUUCCAUUCUACUGUUAUUUAAUGGUUGUUAUUAUUGAUUCUAGAAAAACAUUUUUCGAUUUGGCAGUUUGAGUUUUUCCCUUUUUUUUUUUUCCUCAUUUUGUAGGCCUUAGAGAACCAAAUAAUACUACAUAUUAGAAAGACAGGAUUAUUAUGUGCUAAUUUGAAGUAUUACCUGGUUGACAAUUUAAGACAAUAGUAAAGUAUUUCGCUGUGAUUAUUUUUUUUGAGAAUUCCAUGAUUCAAAAGGCUGAAGAAUUUCAUUAGUUUAACAUAAUAUAUAUUAGCAUAAUUUCUCACUGAGUGUUUUUUUCAACAUUUCAGGCAUGUACAUAUCAAAUUCCCAUUUAUGUUCCACUGAAUUCUGCCUCAUGUUAUGUCUGGAUUUGUUGUAAUAAAUUUUGCUAUUGUAAAAUUACAAGAUGAUUGUAACUUAAAAUGAAAUAUUUCUAUUUGCUCAAUUUUUGACAUUUUAUAUGCAUACAAGUUAAAAAGGUUUUGUUUUCUUUUUUUGGUUUAUUUAUUUUUUUCAGGUAAUGCAGAUUAGGGAAAAGAUUCAUGGAGCACAUCAUGAUAUGAUGGUGGAAGAUGCACUGCCCAAUGAUGGAUUGAAAAAAAGUAUGACUAUAGUGGAAAGCAAGACCGAGGAGGUAAUAGAAGACCGUGUUCAACCUGAAGAGCCAGAAGAGAAUGAUGAUAUUACUAGAUAUGGACCGGCAAUUUCAGGUGAGUUUGUGGAAGAAACAAAUUCAGAUGAGGGGUGGCAAGAAGCCAAUCCAAAAGGUAGGUCAGGAAAUGCUGCUGUUCGGAAGCUCAGCCGGAGGCAACCUGUUCUUACAAAGCUAAAUGUCAAUGGUUGUGAACAUUCAAAUCUUAGAGAAAAAGGCAAUAGACGGGAAAUUGUAUCUCCAGUACGGGAAAAAGCUUCAAGGACCACCACCACUGAGUUAACAGGCAUAAAGGAUUCAAUUAAACAGGUGAGUUUGUGGAAGAAACAAAUUCAGAUGAGGGGUGGCAAGAAGCCAAUCCAAAAGGUAGGUCAGGAAAUGCUGCUGUUCGGAAGCUCAGCCGGAGGCGGCCUGUUCUUACAAAGCUAAAUGUCAAUGGUUGUGAACAUUCAAAUCUUAGAGAAAAAGGCAAUAGACGGGAAAUUGUAUCUCCAGCACGGGAAAAAGCUUCAAGGACCACCACCACUGAGUUAACAGGCAUGAAGGAUUCAAUUAAAUUGCAGGCAAAAGCUUCUGUCUCCAAAGUUUAUGCAAGUCCACCAAACCUUACUGCCAUGGCUUCCAAGUCGCUGUCUUACAAAGAAGUAGCUGUGGCACCUCCAGGUACGGUUCUAAAGCCAUUACCAGAGAAACCGGAUGAAGAAAUUGAAGAAAAAACUGAAACACAGAUGUGCAGUAAUGCUCCUGAGACAUCAAAGGCGGAGUUGAAUAACCAUUUCUCUCCCGUUGAAGAUGCGCCAGUUGAUGGUCAGUCUCAAGAAACUCAUGGAAGUGUAACUCAAUCUGAAACUACUGCUGCAGAUACCGAGGAAGUUCCUUCUUCUUCUAAUGAGGAAAAGCCCAUGGAAACAAAUGGGAGUAAGCUUUCUGCCACAGCUGAACCAUUCAACCCAGGAGCUGUCUCCAUGACUCAUCUGCUAAACUCUGUAGCAGCCACGAGUAUUUAUGAUGCGAGAACUAGUCAAGGUAUGCUUGCAGAACCUGCUGUACCUUCGGCUGCUGCUAGAGUUCCUUGUGGGCCAAGGUCGCCUCUCUAUUAUAGAAAUAAUUAUUCUUACAUGAUGAAACAUGGAUUUCCAAAAUACCACUCUUCCAUUAUGGAAAGAAACCUGUCGGGGCCUUCAAGAAUAAUGAACCCGCAUGCACCCGAGUUUGUGCCAAUGAGAGGUUGGCAAAUAAAUCCUGGAUAUGCAGAUUCAAAUGUUUCAAAUGAGUCGAACUCUUCAAAUGACACAAGUGAGGCAGACGAUGAGAAACUUGACAAAAUGUCCAGUAUUCAAGGCGAGGAUAAUACCUCAAGAAAGAGCAGUACAGAGGCGGAGAAGUCAGAGCUGGCAAGACAGAUACUACUUAGCUUCAUUGUAAAGUCAGUCCAGCAUAAUAUGGAUGCUCCAAGUCAUUCUUCAGGCUACGAAAAGAAGAUUGG
rnacentral:lncRNA from 1 species